UGGGGAAUUUUGGACAAUGGGCGAAAGCCUGAUCCAGCAAUGCCGCGUGUGUGAAGAAGGCCUUCGGGUUGUAAAGCACUUUUGUCCGGAAAGAAAUCCUUGGCUCUAAUACAGUCGGGGGAUGACGGUACCGGAAGAAUAAGCACCGGCUAACUACGUGCCAGCAGCCGCGGUAAUACGUAGGGUGCAAGCGUUAAUCGGAAUUACUGGGCGUAAAGCGUGCGCAGGCGGUUUGCUAAGACCGAUGCGAAAUCCCCGGGCUCAACCUGGGAACUGCAUUGGUGACUGGCAGGCUAGAGUAUGGCAGAGGGGGGUAGAAUUCCACGUGUAGCAGUGAAAUGCGUAGAGAUGUGGAGGAAUACCGAUGGCGAAGGCAGCCCCCUGGGCCAAUACUGACGCUCAUGCACGAAAGCGUGGGGAGCAAACAGGAUUAGAUACCCUGGUAGUCCACGCCCUAAACGAUGUCAACUAGUUGUUGGGGAUUCAUUUCCUUAGUAACGUAGCUAACGCGUGAAGUUGACCGCCUGGGGAGUACGGUCGCAAGAUUAAAACUCAAAGGAAUUGACGGGGUCAUAGCUGUUU
rnacentral:rRNA from 1 species